CCCAGCGGGAGAGAUCGGUCCCUGACCUGGUGACAGGCACGGACCGGCGCCGAAGGAGCAACCGCCCCGGAAACUCUCAGGCAAACGGACCGUUGGGUG
rnacentral:ncRNA from 1 species